rnacentral:snoRNA from 1 species
UGAGCAGGGAUAUGUGUGUAUCGGCUCAUUGACACUGUUCCCUACAAAACUAUGUAUUGGACCGUUCCCUACAAAACUAUGUAUUGGGGAAGAUGGGCAGUUGUGUUUUGUCCUUACGUUCAAAUCUUUCAACAAUCAUCCACCUUACAUUU